GCUUCUCGUUCUGGGCAGCCGCUGCCGCCCCCUGCCGGCCUCCCCGCAGCCCGAGCCCGGGAGUAGGUCGCUGGCGGCGGCCAUGAUCUCCGCCCCCCUCCUCCGCCGCUGCUGCUGCCUCCUGUCCCGCCGGGCCGGAGCGAACCGAGCCGCCUGGACUCGCAGGACUGUGUUUCUGAGAGGGGGCCCAGCCAUGGCCACAGGAGGGAAAAGCAGCCGAUCUAGCAUCCAUCGCUACACCAACCGUCUGAUUAACGAGAAGUCUCCCUACCUCCUCCAGCAUGCCCACAAUCCGGUGGACUGGUACCCGUGGGGCCAGGAAGCCUUUGAUAAAGCAAAGAAAGAAAACAAGCUGAUAUUUCUGUCAGUCGGCUAUUCCACCUGCCACUGGUGCCACGUGAUGGAGCAGGAAUCCUUCAAGAACAAAGAGAUCGGCAAGAUUCUGAAUGACAACUUCGUGUGCAUAAAAGUGGAUCGUGAGGAGAGGCCAGAUGUGGAUAAAGUUUACAUGACCUUUGUGCAGGCUACCAGCAGUGGAGGGGGCUGGCCAAUGAGUGUGUGGCUGACUCCUGACCUCAAACCCUUCAUAGGUGGGACGUAUUUCCCUCCCGAAGAUGGAAUUUACCAAGUCGGCUUUCGAACGGUGCUUCUCCGAAUUGCCGAUCAGUGGAAGCGGAACAAAAAUGCCCUUGUGGAGAAUAGCGAGAGGAUUAUGUCAGCGCUGCUGGCCAGGGCUGAGAUCAGCAUCAAAGGGGAAGAUUCGCCCCCACCUUUUCCAGAGGUGAUGGCCAGGUGUUUCCAGCAGCUAUCUGAAUCAUAUGAUGAGGAAUAUGGCGGCUUUUCAGAGUUUCCAAAGUUCCCCACGCCAGUCAAUUUAAAUUUCCUGUUCACAUACUGGGCCCUACACCGGGCAUCCCCUGAUGGUGCACGGGCCCUGCAGAUGGCGCUGCACACUCUCAAGAUGAUGGCCUAUGGUGGGAUUCAUGAUCACAUUGCUCAGGGAUUCCACCGCUACUCCACCGACCAGAGAUGGCAUGUUCCUCACUUUGAGAAGAUGCUGUAUGAUCAGGGGCAGCUAGCAGUGGCCUAUGCCAGGGCGUUUCAGAUUUCUGGCGAUGAAUUCUUUGCAGAUGUUGCUGCGGACAUUCUGCUCUAUGUCUCCCGAGAUCUGAGCGACAGGGCUGGAGGAUUCUACAGUGCAGAGGACGCAGACUCCUACCCAACAGCCAAGUCCAAAGAGAAGCGGGAGGGGGCGUUCUGCGUGUGGACGGCAGAGGAAAUACGGCGCCUCCUUCCAGAGCCUGUGGAGGGGGCCUCGGAGAGGAAGACUCUGGCAGAUGUGUUCAUGCAUCACUAUGGGGUGAAGGAAGGUGGGAACGUGAGCCCAGCAAAGGACCCGCACAAGGAGCUGAGGGGGCAGAACGUGCUGAUUGUGCAGUAUUCCCUGGAGCUGACGGCAGCCAGGUUCGGGCUGGGCCUGGAACAGCUCAAGACGAUGCUGGCGAAGAGCAGAGAGCGGCUCUGCAAAGCCCGGGGUCACCGACCGCGCCCGCAUCUGGACAUCAAGAUGCUGGCGUCCUGGAAUGGCCUGAUGAUCUCGGGCUUCGCUCAGAGCGGGGCGAUCCUCGGCAAGGAGGAGUACGUCAGCCGGGCCGGGCGGGCUGCUGACUUCCUGCGAAGCCACCUGUUCGAUGCCAGCAGCGGCAGGCUGUUGCGGAGCUGCUACCGGGGCAAAGGCAGCUCGGUGGAGCAGAGCGCUGUUCCCAUUCAGGGCUUCCUGGAGGAUUAUGUCUUUGUGAUCCAGGCGCUCUUCGACCUUUACGAGGCCUCGCUGAACCAGAGCUGGCUGGAGUGGGCCCUGCAGCUCCAGCGCAAACAAGACGAGCUCUUCUGGGACUCCAAAGGCUUUGCGUAUUUCUCCAGCGAGGCCGGGGACUCCUCUCUGCUCCUCCGCUUGAAGGAUGAUCAAGAUGGCGUGGAGCCCAGCGCCAACUCCGUGGCCGUCGCUAACCUGCUCAGGGCAGCCUGUUACUCCGGCAACAUGGAGUGGGUGGAGAAAGCCGGGCAGAUCCUGGCUGCCUUCUCAGAGAGGCUGUUGAAGAUCCCCGUGGCCCUGCCAGAGAUGGCCCGAGCCACCGUGGCCUUUCACCGCACUCUCAAACAGGUCGUUAUCUGCGGCGCCCCAGAAGGAGAAGAUACUAAAGAUCUGCUCCGCUGUGUCCACUCCGUCUUCGCUCCAAACAAGGUCUGUGCGGCUCUGCCGGCCCCGGCGUGGCUGGGAAGGAGCACAGAGCACCCCGGCUGGGGGCCGGAGGAGCUGCAGCGUUGCUGUCUAGGGAUGGGAGUGGAGCUGUCGGAUUGCCGUGGAAGAGGCAGAAAUCCCUCCGAACAGCGUGACAGCUGGACCCCAUGGCAGCUGUCACAUUCAGCCGGCAAUGUCUCUGCCCCUUUGAUUGACAGCUUGCUUACUUGGUAACAUGUCGAGCUGAACGAAACAGGGCAGAAGAGAAGGGAUGGGGUCAGUGCCAAAGGAGAAGAAAGUUCGUAGCUGUGAACAGCUGGACCGGGUUCAUCUCUGACAGCAGCAGUUCAGAACCUUAAUGCCAGGAGUCACGCCCAGCCGCACGCUGGAGCGCUAGUGCCAGGAGUUGCAUGCCCAGCCACACGCAGGAGCAUUAGUGCCAGGAGUCACACGCCCAGCCGCACGCUGGAGCGCUAGUGCCAGGAGUUGCAUGCCCAGCCACACGCCGGAGCACUAGUGCCAGGAGUCACACGCCCCGACAGAUGCCGGAGCGCUAAUGCCAGGAGUUGCAUGCUCAGCUUCACACCGAAGCGCUAGUGCCAGUAGUUGCAUGCCCAGCCACACGCCAGAGCACUAGUGCCAGGAGUUGCAUGCUCAGCUACACACUGGAGCACUAGUGCCAGGAGUCACACGCCCAGCCACACACCAGUGCACUAGUGCCAGGUGUCGCACGCCCAGUUGCACACCUGAGCACUAGUGCCAGGAGUCACACGCCCAGUUGCACGCUAGAGCACUAGUGCCAGGAGUCACACGCCCAGCCGCACACCAGAGCACUAGUGCCAGGAGACGCAUGCCCAGCCGCACACCGGAGCGCUAGUGCCAGGAGUUGCAUGCCCAGCUGCACACUGGCACACUAGUGCUAGGAGUCGCACGCCCAGCCGGAUGCCGGAAUGGUAGUGCCAGGAGUCGCACACCAGAGCGCUUGUGCCAGGUGUCGCAUGCCCAGCCACACGCCUGAGCACUAGUGCCAGGAGUCACACAUCCAGCCGCACACCGGAGCGCUAGUGCCAGGAGUCACACGCCCAGCUGAAUGCCAGAGCGCUAGUGCCAGGUGUCGCAUGCCCAGCCGCACGCCUGCGCACUAGUGCCAGGAGUCACACUCCCAGCCGCAAGCCGGAGCGCUAGUGCCAGGAGUCACACGCCUGUCCUAGGAGCUCUCCGUGCACCUCUGCUACAACACACUUGCUCUCUGCAUUGUUCCUCGUAAGAGCCCUAAUGUGUUAACAGGCUGGUUCGACUCAGUAAGAUCAGUCACUGAGCACAUCAUAGCCCUGCAAUGAUCCCAGUGAAGUGAAUAGACCCUCAGCAGUGCCCGCAGGAUCUCAGUCCGGCCUGGUGUAUGUGUCUGGCAGGACCCCGCAGCUGUGAUGCUCUCUGCAAUGGCUUUGGUGCAGCCCAUCACUGCCCCGCAAUCUCUCCCUGGCUCCCUGGACCCCAGCCAGUCACUGGCUCCUGUAAGUGACUCUGGUCUGUGUCUGUAGCAGCCCCGUCAUCUCCUGGCCUUUCUUCCCUGCGCGGGAUGGUCGCCGUCCAUUCUACACAACAGCCCUGUGCCCCUCCCUGGGAUCUGCCUCAAGAGCUAAUGUAGGCAGCACGGAUACGUGCCAGGGAAGAGUCAGCCUGGAUUUACUCAGGGCUGCAGCGGCUUGAGGGCCUCCGGGGUGGGAGGUUGCAGCAGUGGAAAGUGGGGUUCUUGCGGGGAGCCAGUGGGUGGUGCUGGCUGAGCGUCGGGUGUGACGCAAGGUGGCUGGGCAUGCACAGGUUCCGCUGCAGGCUGGGCUGCCUCACAGGGGUGGGUGGAGGCAACCCCAGAGUGUGCCCUCCCUUGGGAUGAAUCCCCUGUGGGCAAAGGAGGUGGGGAGGUGUAAUGAAGGGAACGUGGCUCCUGGUUGCCCAGAGCCUGUUCUUCUCCUGCUGGCUCCAGCAUCUCUCUGGUGCUGGCUUCAUGACAGGCUGGCCUGUCCCAUGGCUCCAGUGUGCCCUGGGCCAGUCCUUGUUCUGCUCGCGGGGUCUCUUUCCUCCCUCUCUCCCUUGGAAGGAUUAAAGCCAGUGACCCACUUUGCCGGAAUUGAACGUACUGUGUUGGCAGCGGGAGGCUGAGUCCUCUGGUGCCACUGUUAAUAAAUUACUCCCUGUUCAACAGCUGUGCCAGCCUUUGUUCUCUGCAACCUGAGCAGGUUCUGCGAGCGGGACUCGGACGACAAACCGACCGGGGAGCGCGAGCAAAUCAAAUGGCAAGGAAAUUCACUUCCUUUCUAGCUGUUUAAUUCAAUUGCCUCCAACUGCAGCACGGAGCUUUGGAAGCCAAAGCCCAGCUGUUCGAGACAUUCACUCCAGCACUGCAGAGAUAGAUUCCAGUAGAAAGAGCAGAGAAGCCCUGGAGACUGACUGACUGAUAAACCAGAGACAAGGACAGCCUCAGCAGAGAGACGGCUGUGCUUUGAAAUGAACUUUCAGUGCUUUUUAGAACAGCCAGGUAUGAGUUGCUAGUUCCUGAGCACAGCCAGUGAAGAGAACAACGGCAUUGUUGAGAUGCAAGCAGAGGAAUGGGCAGCCGCCUUGUGUCACUCAGGAUAUAAACAAUGACAUGUAGGAGAACACACAGGAAAUGACGACAGCCUGUUGAACAGGAAGUGAAAUGUGACAUCAUCAGGAUGGGGAGCUGACUUGUCGAUCGUGUCAUUUGUAGCACUAUGGAGAGGACAGAAACUCUGUUUCAGGAGGAUUACGAGAUUUUGAAAUUUGGUUUAAGUUCUACUCUGAACAAAAUGCAAAAAUUUCAGAGUUCUCCAUGAAGAAAAGCUUCAUUUCAGAUCAGUUGAAACGUUUUGUUUCUAUUUCUAUUUGAAUUUCAUAAUCUCUAAUAAAAUUCAAAAUUUAAAGAUGUUGAAGCAAAAAGUUGUUCCCGGGUAAAUAAUCAAAACUUUUUGUUUUGAGAACGUCGAAACGGGAUUCUUUGAUGUUGGCGGAACUUUUUCCCAGAUUUUUCUCCACAAUGAAAUUUCUAUGAAAUCAACGUGAUUUUGUGAAGCGUUUUGAUUUUGAUGGAACUUCAUUUCCCAGUGGAAAAUGGUUCCGUCCAAAGUCUUCUGACUGCCAAGACUGUAACAGAGUUCAAAAAAGAACUAGAUAAGUUCAUGGAGAAUAAGUCCAUCAAUGGCUAU